UACGGAGGGUGCAAGCGUUGUCCGGAAUCACUGGGCGUAAAGGGCGCGUAGGCGGCUCAUGAAGGCUGUGGUGAAAGUCCGGGGGCUCAACCUCGGAUCGGCCGUGGCGACUCGUGGGCUGGAGCACUGUAGAGGCGGGUGGAAUUCCGGGUGUAGCGGUGGAAUGCGUAGAGAUCCGGAAGAACACCAGUGGCGAAGGCGGCCCGCUGGGCAGUGGCUGACGCUGAGGCGGCGACAGCGUGGGGAGCAAACAGG
rnacentral:rRNA from 1 species